rnacentral:rRNA from 1 species
GAAACGACACUAACAAUCCUUCGGGUGCGUUAUUGGGCGUCGAGCGGCGGACGGGUGAGUAAUGCCUAGAUAUCUGCCUAGUCGUGGGGGAUAACAGUUGGAAACGACUGCUAAUACCGCAUACGCCCUACGGGGGAAAGGGGGGGACCUUCGGGCCUUUCGCGAUUAGAUGAGUCUAGGUGGGAUUAGCUAGUAGGUGAGGUAAUGGCUCACCUAGGCGACGAUCCCUAGCUGUUCUGAGAGGAUGAUC